rnacentral:rRNA from 1 species
UACGAAGGGGGGCUAGCGUUGCUCGGAAUCACUGGGCGUAAAGGGCGCGUAGGCGGCCAUUCAAGUCGGGGGUGAAAGCCCAGGGCUCAACCCUGGAAUUGCCUUCGAUACUGUUUGGCUAGAGACCGGAAGAGGUAAGUGGAACUGCGAGUGUAGAGGUGAAAUUCGUAGAUAUUCGCAAGAACACCAGUGGCGAAGGCGGCUUACUGGUCCGGUUCUGACGCUGAGGCGCGAAAGCGUGGGGAGCGAACAGG